AGCUUUGCACAGUGGCAGUAUCGUAGCCAAUGAGGUUUAUCCGAGACGCAAUUAUUGCUAAUUAAAUAUUUUGUGUACUUAUUUCUGAAUACUGUUACACUAACACAUCUUUCUCUGACUAAAAUAUACACAUUU